UAUUUGAUGUAAACAUUGAAUAUCGUUUUUACUAUAUAAAGUGAUCAAGCAAUUCACCAUUUGUUAUAUACAAAGUUAAAACAUAAAUAAAAAUAUGGCUGGAAUUCUCAAGUUUUUUUAUAUUGCAAUCAUUUAUGUUUCUAUGUAUCUUGUUGUAAUCGAGGGUAAAGAUGGCUGUAAAACUAAUUUCGAUUGCUUGAUAAAAUAUCCUGAUCAUAAUGAAGAUAUUCUGCAGUGCAUUGGCGGUCAUUGUCUGUGCCUUACCAACUAGGGUUAUCCUCACGACAAGACUGAUGAGUAGAAUCAAGGCGUUUGUGUACGAGAAUAAAGCGGAUAGUUAUUCUCUCACCUAUAUUAUGUUGUUCUUUAAAGUUUGUUGGAUUAUUGUGUAUGUUUAAAUUGAGUUCUAGGCUCUGAUGUUGUGACAUUAGGACCGAGUUUAAUAAUAUGUACUUGACUUAUUUUGUUGGAUAAAAUAUUACAUAUUUUAUUUUAUUAUGAGGAUAAUUGUAAGGCUCUAAGAUGGAAAAAUAUUUUAUUUUGAGUUA